GAGAGAGAGGGGGCUGUAGCCGGAGCAUCGCCGUCCACCUCGCCGGAGCGGGCGACGCUGUGGCUCUCCGCGGCGGAGGUGGAGCUUUGGGGAGGGUAAGGCGGACGCGGGUGGUGGUGGCUGGUGGUCCGGCCGGUGGAGGUCGCGGGGGAAUGGAGGUGUUCGUAGCGGCGCGGCGGAGGCGGCGGCGCUCUUCGUCUUCUCCGGCAGUGGCGGUCUCGGACCUCUCCUCUAACAGCUCUUCUUCUCCUUCAGAUGGCACGGGAGGAGGGAUGUGAGGCCACCACCCGAGGUUCCCGGCCCGAUCUGUAUUGCUGCCUCCGCUUCGGCCCUCUACCGCCGGCAUCUCUACGCCAACUAUGUGCGGCGUCUCGCGUCGCCUGUAUUCACAGGCUCAUCGCUACCUAGGGUUUGGCCGCCACCGUCCGCUGCCACACACCCGCCCGCAGGCUGCCGCCAAAUCUCAAACGAAAUCUCCCGGCCACAGUCCCGCCGCCAACACGCCUCCUCCCGCGACCAGGUCGCCUCCCGACGCUAGGUCGCUCCCCAACGAGUUGCGGUUCCUGUAGCUCGAUGGAGGCGUGGACUGAGCCAUCAGGCUGCCUCCUCCCACAGGCAGCUCUCUGCCACUCGCCGACGGGUGCCAUGGCCAACGAAGAUGGGGUUAAUUCGAUUUUUAGACGGAGGGUGUCUCCUGCGGAGGAGCGACGUGCCUCACGGACAAAGACACGCAACCUGCUGGUCCGUUUGUUUGAUUCCCGCAGUCUAGGUGCCGGCAGCUCGCCCCCGCCCCUUUGAGCCACCUCACAACUCGGGGGUUCACGGCGGCGCAGCGUAUUCCGGCAGGCACAAGGGCGCAGUCGUACGGUGGCAACAGCAGUGAGUGCAUGCUCGCACCUGAUUUUCCUCAAUUGAUAUGUACAUGGCUUCAGGCAUUAGGCUGUGCAAGUGCAGAACUGCAAAGUGCUCUUAUUUUUAAUUUAUGAUGUCCGAGUUGACAUUAGCUCAUACAACUGUUCCUGUUUGUAUUGCUAAUCUGGGUUGAAGUGCUGCCUUCCUCCAUCGUCGAUGUCAAGGGGACUUCUGUGGUUUCAGCGUUUGGCUGCAGGAGCCGGGCUACAAGUGCGAGCGGCUUGGUAGCCACUGCCCCUGACGUUAUGGCCUCAUGGGGCUCAUAGCUGCAGUGCUAAUCUGGGAUGUAAGCAAUUGGUCUGGUCAUUCGGUUUUAUGGGUCUCUGAAUACCAUAUCCCAAACAACUACUACAGAUUGAUCAUGUUGAGUCGGACAAUGCUCUUCUCCCUCUGUUGUCGGCACCGCGUGCAUCGUCUGCAGCGGCCUCUCCGAGCACACAUUUUAAGGUUUUCCUCUGUUUGAAAUACUCGUGUGGAACAGGAGAUUUGUUUCAAAUUUGUCCCGGUAUUGGAUUCAUCUGCAGCUAUAAUUUUGGGUUUGUUUCUCUGAACAAAUAGUUUUAUAUUUCCGGGUUAACAUUUUUUGGUAGUCCCAUGUUGCAAAAAAAGAUUAGCACCCCCACUUUAUAACAUAUCUGUAAUGUACAUCCCUUAAUUCUCAUAUGUUCAAAAGCUCUCAAAGCAUCCACUUGCCAUCAACUAAUUUCAGAUCUUGAAAAAACCACACCUUGCGCAUGCCAACAAUGUUGCAUAUGUUGCUGGAGAUUACCAGGGUAUCUACAUGCACUUGUGAUGGGUGAAAUUCACAGUAUAUCGUUUCUGAUAUCUAAAUACCUGUAAGCUCCUAUGUAAUCUAUUUAAACUAUCCUUCUAUUAUUUGUGCCGAUUAUUUAUGUCUAUAUACCUGAGAUUCACACCACACCUUUGCAUUGCUUUCUUGAGUAGUGAAAAUAAGUUCUAAUGUAAGUAUUAGUGUCAGUUAUUUGUGCUUCUGUGAAUUAUCAUUAGUGUUUGUUUAGUGGACCAAAUAAAUUAAGUUUUGGAUACUCAAUGUACAAACUGCACUAUCUGCAGAUAUAGAACAAUGCAUUCGAACAUACCACUGGUUUUAGGUUGCAAUUAGGCAACUUUCUGUUGGAAUAGCUCAUAAUAAAUUUUAGGUUGUUCUAAAUUAUAACGACAAUUAAUGUGCCAGCAAUUAUACAUGUGAAGUAGUUGAACUAGGUAAACACCAACGUCGAGUGCAAAAUUAAGCUAGCCCUAGACCUGAGGUUGUUGUCACGGUGGCCUUCAUUAUAGUACCAUGUGCAAUUAUGAAGUUCAUGUGAGUUUUAGAUAAGUGAUUUACCUUUAUAUUCUCAUUCUUAGUGAUUUUUGUUUAGAAGAUGAUAGCGGGAUGGUGAUGCAUAAUAAGCCAAAUUAUAUGUUCGCAAGUUGCGGGAUUUUACGGCAGCGACUGCUACCACAACCCACGUGUGAAACAUUUAGGAGGAUUCAUCACCAGGCCCGCACGGACAGUCGUGAACGCGAGCAGCCGAUUGUCACGGACAGCCACGAUGCCUAUUAAUUCCCCUGGCCGCAGUGCAUACGUGGCACAGACUAUCGACUAACAUGUCAGUUUUCAUCUUGAAUGCGCUGCCCAUAUCCUUAUGUGGCGAGACCACUCACCUUGGCUGCCGGACGGAUGCAGGCACUACCGCGUGCCCAUGGUAGAUGGUGGCGAGCUCUCAGCCAAAGCAUGUGGCAUCGUGAAGAGGCGAGCAAAGGGCGAAGUCAGCGGUUCCUAGAGCUCGCACCGGCGUCAACCUAUAGCUUGCUCGGCGCCCUUGCACACCCUCAAACUCAGGCGACCAUGGUAGCUGCUCCAUCAUCUAUUCUGGUCGCAUGUUUGUGUUGCUAUCUCUGCUCAUUUUUGCAUCCAGGCCCCGUCCCGCCUAACCAUCGAGACCACCAUGAUUGAUUCAAGGUUGAAGGCAUCGCCCUCUCUGGUGUCCCAUGCCAAGAACCUUUUUUUGUACUAUGUUUGGGUGUUUCAAUUCAGACUGCCUAAUUAACAUUGAUCACAUGCUAUUUAAUUCCAGUUAUCAUUCCUUGACGACUAAUUCUUGAUCCUUUGAUUGAUAACAUAAAAUAGACAAUACAUUAUACAUGGAUUGAUUCCUGUCAAGAUUUAGCAUUGGACCGUGUUGGCUACAUAUACAUGCAACCUGUAGGACAACAUAAUAUACAAACUCACUCUAUGGAUGCAAUGUUAUUUAUGUUACAUGCGUCAUUCCAAUUUAUGCCUAUUAACUCAGCAUGUUCCUUAUAUUAGCCCCUUCAUUACUUUGAUGGAAGUUGUGCUUAGUGCAUUACCGGUGCUUGCUUGACCUGUCUUAGUAUUCUUGAGCUGGACACAUAGUGUUGCUAUUCUUGUGUGGCUUGCAUUGAAGACAAAAUGAUUUGAUUAGAUUUCUUGUGAACAAUAAAACUUUGAGAUAGUAAAACAUAAGGGGUCAGUUGAAAUAAAAAAAAUUACCAAAAUUAUUUCUUAUUUGAUAAUAUAUUGAUGUUUUUUUCUAUGUUCUGUUAUGCAUAGUAGAACAACUAAUAUGACUUAUGCUGUAUUUUUAUCCAAAGAUUUGAUUGGAUAUCCAUGUAUACUAUGAGAAUGUCCAGACUUGAGCUAUCUGAGGUAAGUAUCGGUAGCUUUCUACAUGAUGGGUUGCUAUGGUGUACUAUUAAGUGGUUUGUUAAUGGGAAAUUAACAAUGGUAUGGAUAAUCAUGUUUGUUGGGAUAGUGGUAUAUUGUGUUCCAGUAAGUAGGCAUGUUUUCCCCAACGCUUAUGCUGUUCUGUUUGUAUUUCUGCAGCUGGAAGAAGACAUGUAUUGUGUGGUGUUACAGAAGAAACUAUUAUGGUGCUGAUGAUAUACCCAGAGCUUGGUGCUAUGUACUCCUCCAAUUAUUUUGGUGCAGACUACCAUUUAUGUUCUGCAUGCGCAUGUUUUCCAGUUUUGCUUCUGGCUAGAAACCAACCUUUGAUGUAGGAAACUCGUGAGAGGACACAAACCAUAUCUCUGAACAAUCAUGGAAGUGUUAGUUGCGCGAUCACUCCAAAACUCGAAGUGUAUGAUCCUUCCAAGAGAUCGAAAGGCACCACAUCAUCCAACUGUUGUUCUUGCUUAUUGAAGAACAGUGGCUAAUAUUGGUGAAGAUCUUUGUAUUGUGUCUUGAUGUAUGACACAACCAAAGGUUCUAAAAGUUACAUGGUAGUGCCAUCGCUUUCCUGUGUUACGUACUAACUUUCUAUAAUGUGUCGUUUCAUGUGAUAUAUAUUAUAAUGCCCUUGCUUUGUUAUCCAACUUAAGCAAUGUAUAAUUUAGAUUUGUAUUAAUUUCUAUGCUUAGUGAUCGAAAGGUUGACCUCUACAUUGAUCAAAUAAUGUAUGUUUCAAUUCUGUAUUGAUCAAUGCCUGUCUGAACUUAAUCGAGAUAUAAGGCCAUAUGAUAUUUCCCA